GACGAACGCUGGCGGCGUGCUUAACACAUGCAAGUCCAACGAAGUGGCGAACGGUUGUGUAAUACGUGGGUCACCUGCCCUCCUUUUCGUGAUAAGCCUUGGAAACGUGGUCUAAUUCCGCAUACAGGUGAAUGGGCUCGCGGCCUAUAAGCUUGUUGUUGGGGUGAUGGCCAACCUAGGCGGUGACGGGUAGCCGGCCUAAUAGGGUGAGCGGCUGCAUUGGGACUGUGAUACGGCCCAGACUCCUACUGAAGGCAGCUGUGGGGGCUAUUGCCAGAUGGGGGAAAGUCUGAUGCAGCGACGCGGUGUGGGGGAUGGAGGCUGGCGGGUUGUAAACCUCUUUGGCUAUCGAACGGGUAGGUGGAGAAGAAUCGCCGGCUAACUACGGGCCAGCAGCCGAGGUAAUAC
rnacentral:rRNA from 1 species